ACGGGCUCUAAGGCGUAAAAGAUGUAUGACCCCGUCUCAAAGCGUGUGCAUGUCUCUCGUGACGUCAUCUUCGACAAAGACGCGCGAUGGACUUGGGAGGCGUCGGGGGAGGCCCCGGCAAGCAACUCCUUUACCGUGGAGUACCCGAUGUACUCUACGACCCCGGGAAGCAAGACCCCGGGAAGUGCCACCCCGGGAAGCUCGGGAGGUGUGGAUCCGGGAACAGCAACCCCGAGAACACCGUCCCCGGGUACGGUGUCGCCAGACACCAUAACGUCAAACAAGGUGGGUCCGGGGAGGCAGUUCGCAACCCCGCCAACGGCAAGGUCGGAGCUGUUCGACGCCGACGACAGUGUUGGCGCCCCCCAUAGGUUUUGGCGCAUGGGGGAUCUCCUCGGCGAGGCUGCGGCAACACCGCAACAGCCUGAGGAUGAGGACGCUGAUGACGACGAGGUCCUGCAUGUAUGAUCGGAACAGAGUUAAGCAUCCAUGUAUGAUCGGAACUAGUAAUUGUGGAAAUCUACCCCUUUUUUAUGUAAAGACCAAGCAUACUGACAUCCGUUUUAGCCUUAAACUAUGUAGCCAUUCCUCCCAGGUGGAACAUUAGCUGAUGUGCACACUGAUCAAAUUACUACAGAUAAAAAAGAAUCUUAGGAAAGAUAUAGCGGUACUUCAUCUGUUAUAUUUCAGAGCAUCCCCACCCCAGAAUGCUACCAUGCUGUGCAGGGUUUGGAAAAUAGUGGGUUGCUGGCUGGUAAUCCUGAACGUAUCAGUACAGGUUUCCUAGGCUUAUUAUCUGCUUCAGCCCCUUAAUUGCAUAUUAGUACCUAUGCUUCAAUCAUUUAAAUAUGAAAAUCUCAAGAAAAAUUGCACAAAUUAAAAAAACCAAACAGUCUCAUUUCAAAAACCACCUGCUUUAUUUGUGACAACUAUGCUCUUCUAUUUUCACAUAAUUAACUUUUCAAUAUCUCAUGGAUAAAUUCUCAAAUUUUCUAGCCUGAAAUGGCGCUUUCNNNNNNNNNNNNNNNNNNNNNNNNNNNNNNNNNNNNNNNNNNNNNNNNNNNNNNNNNNNNNNNNNNNNNNNNNNNNNNNNNNNNNNNNNNNNNNNNNNNNUGCAUCCUGUGUGCCUUGCCAUGGGUCAUGUCUCCGAUGCGUGGCGUUGGCAUGCCAGGCUAGGACACCAGCACUUCGACGGGUUGCGGAAGAUGGCGCGAGGCAACCUCGUUCGUGGGCUACCUCACAUCAAGCACGCCGACGAGUUGUGUGAUGCGUGUCUUGCCGGGAAGCAGCGACGCCUGCCCUUCCCGGAAAAGGCACGCUAUCGGGCGCAGUAACCCCUGGAGCUGGUUCAUGCGGACCUCUGCGGCCCAAUCACCCCGGCAACACCAGGAGGGCGUCGCUACACCUUGCUUCUCGUCGACGACUAUAGAAGGUUCAUGUGGGUGAUGCUACUCGCCUCCAAGGAUGAGGCCGAGCGAGCCAUCGUCAAGAAGCAAGCGGCAGCAGAGGUCGAGUGCGGCCACAAGCUGCGCGUGCUACGCAUAGACUGUAGCAGCGAGUUUACGUCGGCCACGUUCUACAAGCACUGCGACGAGAAAGGGGUGCAACAUCACCUCACAACUCCUUACUCGCCGCAACAGAAUGGCGUCGUCGAGCGGAGGAACCAGACAGUGCUCGGGAUGGCACGCUGCAUGCUCAAGGCAAAGCAGGUGCCGAGCACGUAUUGGGGGGAGGCCGUGCUGACGGCCGUCUUCAUCCUCAACCGCUCCUUCACAAGGAGCGUCGAUGGCAAGACGCCUUACGAGGCGUGGUAUGGGAGGAAGCCCGAUGUACGCUUCCUCCGUACCUUUGGCUGCGUCGGGCACGUCAACACGACACGCCCACAGCUGAAGAAGUUCGAUGAUAGGAGCACCCCAAUGGUGUUCAUGGGCUACGAGACGGGCUCUAAGGCGUAAAAGAUGUAUGACCCCGUCUCAAAGCGUGUGCAUGUCUCUCGUGACGUCAUCUUCGACAAAGACGCGCGAUGGACUUGGGAGGCGUCGGGGGAGGCCCCGGCAAGCAACUCCUUUACCGUGGAGUACCCAAUGUACUCUAUGACCGCGGGAAGCAAGACCCCGGGAAGUGCCACCCCGGGAAGCUCGGGAGGUGUGGAUCCGGGAACAGCAACCCCGAGAACACCGUCCCCGGGUACGGUGUCGCC
rnacentral:lncRNA from 1 species